GCCUUGGACCGGGCCAACUAUUGCGCAUAUUUGUUGAUAGCAAUAUAUGGGUGGUGGUCCAUAAAACAGAUUGAAAGGGUGUGGAGGGAUCAAAGCCACAGAUGCCUGUCCAAUGAUGGAGAUGAAUUUGAUGGAAGUCCGCCAUGGCUGGCCGAGGAUCUAUAACUUGUUGGCAAAAUAGAACGAAUAAACACCAGUAUGAGUGGGUGAAUAUAAAAAUGGUAUAAAUAUGGAAUAAAUACUAACUAGGUUAUAUUUAUAAUGGGUUCUUGAACAUAUUAAUAAUCAGCUUUAUGAAAAUUUCUUUGGAA